UACGAAGGGGGCUAGCGUUGCUCGGAAUCACUGGGCGUAAAGCGCACGUAGGCGGAUUGUUAAGUCAGGGGUGAAAUCCUGGAGCUCAACUCCAGAACUGCCUUUGAUACUGGCGAUCUCGAGUCCGGGAGAGGUGAGUGGAACUGCGAGUGUAGAGGUGAAAUUCGUAGAUAUUCGGAAGAACACCAGUGGCGAAGGCGGCUCACUGGACCGGCAUUGACGCUGAUGUGCGAAAGCGUGGGGAGCAAACAGG
rnacentral:rRNA from 1 species